UUCCACUGAAGAAUGUGACCCAACGGUAGAGGAUUCGUUCUUCCUGCAUGAAGAAAUAGAGUUAAUCUAAGAAAUUAUCAUAAAAGAAGAGAACUUUCCUUGCUAGCUGCAAUAGGGUAAAGAUGAGAGCUGGAAACAACCUUUGACUUCUUAUUGUCCAUAAUGACCAUACGAUGUAGGCUGCAAGAGAGUGAGUGCCCUCUCUACCAAGGUAUUGAUCGGUAAAUUAACCAAUGCUGGCGCAAAGAGGUGGGGAAAAGGCUCAUCAAAGUAUUCAUGAGCUAGGAGCUACAAAUUAACAUGAUUG
rnacentral:lncRNA from 1 species